CCUACGGGUGGCAGCAGUGAGGAAUAUUGGUCAAUGGGCGCUAGCCUGAACCAGCCAUGCCGCGUGCAGGAUGACUGCCCUAUGAGUUGUAAACUUCUUUUGUAUGGGAGUAAAAUGCAGUAUGUAUACUGCUUUGCAUGUACCUUAUGAAUAAGGAUCGGCUAACUCCGUGCCAGCAGCCGCGGUAAUACGGAGGAUGCGAGCGUUAUCCGGAUUCAUUGGGUUUAAAGGGUGCGUAGGUUGUUUUUUAAGUUAGCGGUGAAAGUUCGUGGCUCAACAUUAGGAUUGCCGUUGAAACUGGAAGACUAGAGAGUGUAUGAGGUAGGCGGAAUGUGUGGUGUAGCGGUGAAAUGCAUAGAUAUUACGCAGAACUCCGAUUGCGAAGGCAGCUUACUAGGCCAUAACUGACACUGAAGCACGAAAGCGUGGGGAUCAAACAGGAUUAGAUACCCUAGUAGUC
rnacentral:rRNA from 1 species